AACGAACGCUGGCGGCAGGCUUAACACAUGCAAGUCGAGCGCCCCGCAAGGGGAGCGGCAGACGGGUGAGUAACGCGUGGGAACGUACCUUUUGGUUCGGAACAACUCCGGGACACUGGAGCUAAUACCGGAUAAGCCCUAACGGGGAAGAUUUAUCGCCGAAAGAUCGGCCCGCGUCUGAUUAGCUAGUUGGUGAGGUAACGGCUCACCAAGGCGACGAUCGGUAGCUGGUCUGAGAGGAUGAUCAGCCACACUGGGACUGAGACACGGCCCAGACUCCUACGGGAGGCAGCAGUGGGGAAUAUUGGACAAUGGGCGCAAGCCUGAUCCAGCCAUGCCGCGUGAGUGAUGAAGGCCUUAGGGUUGUAAAGCUCUUUUGUCCGGGAAGAUAAUGACUGUACCGGAAGAAUAAGCCCCGGCUAACUUCGUG
rnacentral:rRNA from 1 species